rnacentral:misc_RNA from 1 species
AACUUGUUACUGGCUUCGUUCCAAUUUAUUUGUCUUAUCUUGCUUUUUAAUCCGUUUACCAGAGAUUCUAGACCGCUACAUCGUUUUGGGACACUCUACGUAUGUUUAUUUUAAGAUUAAACUCUGUGUCAAGUCAACAAAUUGAAAUAGAAUGAGUAAUUUAUUUAUUUCCCUUUCUAUUGGUUUAAUUGUGGGAAUCAUUAUUGAGGGUUUCGUCUGUAACAG